GAAGAGAUUGCUGAGUGGUUAAAAGCACUAGAUUGUAAAUCUAUUGAUGUAAUUAUAAUGUCUUCGUAGGUUCGAAUCCUGCUCUCUUCA
rnacentral:tRNA from 1 species